rnacentral:rRNA from 1 species
GUCGAGCGAACAGAUAAGGAGCUUGCUCCUUUGAAGUUAGCGGCGGACGGGUGAGUAACACGUGGGUAACCUACCUAUAAGACUGGGAUAACUUCGGGAAACCGGAGCUAAUACCGGAUAACAUUUAGAACCGCAUGGUUCUAAAGUGAAAGAUGGUUUUGCUAUCACUUAUAGAUGGACCCGCGCCGUAUUAGCUAGUUGGUAAGGUAACGGCUUACCAAGGCGACGAUACGUAGCCGACCUGAGAGGGUGAUCGGCCACACUGGAACUGAGACACGGUCCAGACUCCUACGGGAGGCAGCAGUAGGGAAUCUUCCGCAAUGGGCGAAAGCCUGACGGAGCAACGCCGCGUGAGUGAUGAAGGGUUUCGGCUCGUAAAACUCUGUUAUUAGGGAAGAACAAAUGUGUAAGUAACUGUGCACAUCUUGACGGUACCUAAUCAGAAAGCCACGGCUAACUACGUGCCAGCAGCCGCGGUAAUACGUAGGUGGCAAGCGUUAUCCGGAAUUAUUGGGCGUAAAGCGCGCGUAGGCGGUUUCUUAAGUCUGAUGUGAAAGCCCACGGCUCAACCGUGGAGGGUCAUUGGAAACUGGGAAACUUGAGUGCAGAAGAGGAAAGUGGAAUUCCAUGUGUAGCGGUGAAAUGCGCAGAGAUAUGGAGGAACACCAGUGGCGAAGGCGACUUUCUGGUCUGUAACUGACGCUGAUGUGCGAAAGCGUGGGGAUCAAACAGGANUAGAUACCCUGGUAGUCCACGCCGUAAACGAUGAGUGCUAAGUGUUAGGGGGUUUCCNNCCCUUAGUGCUGCANCUAACGCAUUAAGCACUCCGCCUGGGGAGUACGACCGCNAGGGUNGAAACUCAANGANUGACGGGGACCCGCNCAANCGGNGGANCAUGUGNUUA